GUUGAUAAGGUUAAGUGAAUAAGGGCGCACGGUGGAUGCCUUGGCACUAGGAGCCGAUGAAGGACGGGACUAACACCGAUAUGCUUUGGGGAGCUGUACGUAAGCUAUGAUCCAGAGAUUUCCGAAUGGGGGAACCCAACAUCUUUAAUAGGAUGUUACGAUUGUGUGAAUACAUAGCACAUUCGAGGUAGACGCAGAGAACUGAAACAUCUAAGUACCUGCAGGAAGAGAAAGAAAAUUCGAUUCCCUGAGUAGCGGCGAGCGAAACGGGAAAAGCCCAAACCAGCAAGCUUGCUUGUUGGGGUUGUAGGACUCCAAUAUGGUAGUUCUUUCAGAUAGUCGAAUGACUUGGAAAAGUCAGUCAAAGAGGGUAAAAACCCCGUAGACGAAAUGUGGAAGACACCUAGGAGGAUCCUGAGUACGGCGGAACACGAGAAAUUCCGUCGGAAUCCGGGAGGACCAUCUCCCAAGGCUAAAUACUCCCUAGUGACCGAUAGUGAACCAGUACCGUGAGGGAAAGGUGAAAAGCACCCCGGAAGGGGAGUGAAAUAGAACCUGAAACCGUGUGCCUACAACAAGUCAAAGCCCGUUAAUGGGUGAUGGCGUGCCUUUUGUAGAAUGAACCGGCGAGUUACGAUUGCAUGCGAGGUUAAGUUGAAGAGACGGAGCCGCAGCGAAAGCGAGUCUGAAUAGGGCGUUUGAGUAUGUAGUCGUAGACCCGAAACCAUGUGAUCUACCCAUGUCCAGGUUGAAGGUGCGGUAAAACGCACUGGAGGACCGAACCCACGUACGUUGAAAAGUGCGGGGAUGAGGUGUGGGUAGCGGAGAAAUUCCAAACGAACUUGGAGAUAGCUGGUUCUCUCCGAAAUAGCUUUAGGGCUAGCCUCGGAAUUGAGAAUGAUGGAGGUAGAGCACUGUUUGGACUAGGGGCCCAUCUCGGGUUACCGAAUUCAGAUAAACUCCGAAUGCCAUUCAUUCAUAUCCGGGAGUCAGACUGUGAGUGAUAAGAUCCAUAGUCGAAAGGGAAACAGCCCAGACCACCAGCUAAGGUCCCAAAAUAUAUGUUAA
rnacentral:rRNA from 1 species